GAUGAACGCUGGCGGCGUGCUUAAUACAUGCAAGUCGAGCGAACAGACGCGGAGCUUGCUGCUCUGACGUUAGCGGCGGACGGGUGAGUAACACGUGGAUAAUCUACCUAUCAGUCUGGGAUAAUUUCGGGAAACCGGAGCUAAUACCGGAUAAUAUAUUGAACCGCAUGGUUCAAUAGUGAAAGACGGCUUUGGUGUCACUUAUAGAUGGAUCCGCGCCGCAUUAGCUAGUUGGUAAGGUAACGGCCUACCAAGGCAACGAUGCGUAGCCGCCCUGAGAGGGUGGGCGGCCGCACUGGAAGUGAGACACGGUCCAGACGGCCUCGGGUGGGAGCAAGAGGGAAUCUGCCGCAAGGGGCGGGAGCUAGACGGAGCAAGGCCGCGGGAGGGAGGAGGGUCUUCGGGUGGGAAAUGACUGUUUUUAGGGAGUAAAAAAUGUGUGCGUAACUCGGCGCGUGUUUGCCGUUCCUUAGCAGAGAGGCACGGCCUACUUCCGG
rnacentral:rRNA from 1 species